rnacentral:lncRNA from 1 species
UUUUGGAUUUGUACUGCGCUCAAGAAAGGAUGCUGCUUUAGGAAAUAGAUGGACUCAAGUGAAGAGUGAUGAAGCUUGAAAUCAUAAAAAUUGUAAGAAAUCCAUCCAGUUUGUGAAGCUUUUUGCAGUUGGACAAGGUUUGCUCUCAAGGCUGGUGUGUGUGGAAUUAUUCAACUUCGGCCUCGAUGCAUUGGUAAAUUCAUAGUCUUGUUAAGUAUAUAUUUGAAGCAGAUUGGACAAACUUUUAAACAUUUGUGUUGUCACCGCUCACGGGUAUAGUCGAAUGUAAAUUCCUUUUUUUUUCCUCGUUAUUUCUCCCUUUACUUUAUAGUAUUAUAGAAUGUAAAAUAUUGAAGACGAUAGAAUUGAUGACCAAACCAUUGGUUUGAAUCUGUUGUUUUGUUUCUCUUUGCUAGCAGACCGUCAUCAAACUAGUGUGUUGCCUUUCUUAUGAAUCAAUUAUAUAAGAAAAUUGAAGAAAUUUUGUAAUUUACAUAUAAAAAUACAUGCGAAUUAAAUAUAGACUUGUUGAUGAAGAUUGAAUACGAAUGAUUUUAAUUUAAUUUGGG